rnacentral:rRNA from 1 species
UACGAAGGGAGCUAGCGUUGUUCGGAAUUACUGGGCGUAAAGGGCUCGUAGGCGGCCAACUAAGUCAGACGUGAAAUCCCUCGGCUUAACCGGGGAACUGCGUCUGAUACUGGAUGGCUUGAGUUUGGGAGAGGGAUGCGGAAUUCCAGGUGUAGCGGUGAAAUGCGUAGAUAUCUGGAGGAACACCGGUGGCGAAGGCGGCAUCCUGGACCAACACUGACGCUGAGGAGCGAAAGCCAGGGGAGCAAACGGG